rfam:Erinaceus europaeus unplaced genomic scaffold scaffold00376, whole genome shotgun sequence
GGCCUCCUGCACUUCCCACAGGCUGUGUUCUUUACUCAGUGUAGAAAAAGGAGGCAGCAUCUACCCACUCCGUAUACACCUCAGCCAAAUCCCUUUGCCUGACUUGUAUUGUGAAUGGGGGGGGGGGG